UACGUAGGGCGCAAGCGUUGUCCGGAAUUAUUGGGCGUAAAGAGCUCGUAGGCGGUUUGUCGCGUCUGUUGUGAAAGCCCGGGGCUUAACCCCGGGUCUGCAGUGGAUACGGGCAGGCUAGAGGCAGGUAGGGGAGAACGGAAUUCCCGGUGUAGCGGUGAAAUGCGCAGAUAUCGGGAGGAACACCGGUGGCGAAGGCGGUUCUCUGGGCCUGUACUGACGCUGAGGAGCGAAAGCGUGGGGAGCGAACAGG
rnacentral:rRNA from 1 species